AGCGAACGUUAGCGGCGCGCCUAACACAUGCAAGUCGCACGAGAAACGGAGCAAUCCGCGGUACAGUGGCGCACGGGUGAGUAACACGUGGAUGACCUUCCCUGGAGUGGUGGAUAACCUGCCGAAAGGCGGGCUAAUACAGCAUGGGACCACGACGCUUUGGCGAUGUGGUGAAAGCGGGCCUCUAUAUAUAAGCUCGCGCUCCGGGACGGGUCCGCGUCCCAUCAGCUAGUUGGUGAGGUAACGGCUCACCAAGGCUUCGACGGGUAGCUGGUCUGAGAGGAUGGCCAGCCACACUGGAACUGAAACACGGUCCAGACUCCUACGGGAGGCAGCAGUGGGGAAUCUUGCGCAAUGGGCGAAAGCCUGACGCAGCGACGCCGCGUGGGCGAAGAAGGCCUCGG
rnacentral:rRNA from 1 species